GUCUACAGACCUAAACCCUAUUAAGCGUCUGUGGGGCAUGUUCAAACGGAAGGUGGAGGAGCACAAGCUCACUAACAUCCACCAGCACUGUGAUGUCGUCAUGGAGGAGUGGAAGAGGACUCCAGUGGCAACCCGCGAAGCUCUGGUGAACUCCAUGCCUGAGGGUCAAGGCACUGCUGAUGGCGACAGAAGCCCGCAGGCUCAGCCGGCUGCUGUCCAAGGUGCUGAAGGAAAAGUCUAACAUGGUAUCAACUGUUUGCUGAACAAAUACACACAAAACUCAUUUUAACUGUGGGGAAUUUGUUGAAUGUAGCCCUAUAAAUAAUUAGUGUUCCACAGUGGUGGAAAGUAACUAUACAUAUACUACAGGUAUAAUGAGCCUACAUUUACUGAAGUAGUCUACUGUACUUUUCUCACAAUAUUUCAUUUAAAUAUACACAGAGGUCAAGGUAUAAUAAAAAAAUAAUCAAAUUA